GAUUGACUCAUGUUGCCUCGGCGGGUUCUCCCGCCAGAGGAUACAUCAAAACUCAUGUUUUAACGGUGUUGUUUGAGCUACAAGCAACGAAUCAAAACUUUCAACAACGGAUCUCUUGGUUCUGGCAUCGAUGAAGAACGCAGCGAAAUGCGAUAAGUAGUGUGAAUUGCAGAAUUCAGUGAAUCAUGGAAUCUUUGAACGCACAUUGCGCCCCUUGGUAUCCCGAGGGGCAUGCCUGUUCGAGCGUCAUUUCACCACUCAAGCCUGGCUUGGUGUUGGGCGACGUCCCCUUUAGGGACGCGCCUCGAAACGCUCGGCGGCGUGGCACCGGCUUUAAGCGUAGCAGAAUCUUUCGCUUUGAAAGUCGGGGCCCCGUCUGCCGGAAGACCUACUCGCAAGGUUGACCUCGGAUCAGGCAGGGAUACCCGCUGAACUUAAGCAUAUCAAUAAGCGGAGGA
rnacentral:rRNA from 1 species